rnacentral:rRNA from 1 species
CCUACGGGAGGCAGCAGUGGGGAAUAUUGGGCAAUGGGCGCAAGCCUGACCCAGUAACGCCGCGUGAAGGAAGAAGGCUCUCGGGUUGUAAACUUCCUUUAGGCGGGAAGAGCAGAAGACGGUACCUCUUGAAUAAGCCACGGCUAACUACGUGCCAGCAGCCUCGGUAAGACGGAGGUGGCAAGCGUUGUCCGGGUUUACUGGGGGUAAAGGGCGUGCAGCCGGGAAGACAAGUCAGAUGUGAAAUCCCGCGGCUCAACCGCGGAACUGCAUUUGAAACUGUUGUUCUUGAGUACCGGAGAGGUCAGCGGAAUUCGUUGUGUAGCGGUGAAAUGCGUAGAUAUAAGGAAGAACACCAGUGGCGAAGGCGGAUGACUGGACGGCAACUGACGGUGAGGCGCGAAAGCGUGGGGAGCAAACAGGAUUAGAUACCCGAGUAGUC